rnacentral:rRNA from 1 species
UACAGAGGUCUCAAGCGUUGUUCGGAUUCAUUGAGCGUAAAGGGUGCGUAGGUGGCGCUGUAAGUCGGGUGUGAAAUUUCGGAGCUUAACUCCGAAACUGCAUUCGAUACUGCGGUGCUUGAGGACUGGAGAGGAGACUGGAAUUCAUGGUGUAGCAGUGAAAUGCGUAGAGAUCAUGAGGAAGACCAGUGGCGAAGGCGGGUCUCUGGACAGUUCCUGACACUGAGGCACGAAGGCCAGGGGAGCAAACGGG